rnacentral:tRNA from 1 species
GUUUCCGUAGUGUAGUGGUUAUCACGUUUGCCCUACACGCAAAAGGUCCCCAGUUCGAAACUGGGCGGAAACA